CAGCCCCCCCUCCCAUAGUCGGCUCUACCCAUCAGUGGCCCGAUCAACACAAAAAAAAAGGGUUGAAAACCUAACCUCUGGCGAAUGGUGGACGGCAGACGGCAAGCAGUGUGGAUGGUGGACGGCAGGUGACGUGGACAGUAGACGGCGGCUACGAUGGUGGAGAGGGGCUCGCUGGCAAGAAGAGAGGGGGGAGAGCAUGGAGAGAGGAGAGCUCAGGGAGAGGGAGAGAGGU
rnacentral:lncRNA from 1 species